UCUUCCCAUCCUUCUAUAUAUUUCUCCUCUCUUCACCCCCAAACCCCUCUCAAAGCCUCUGCCUAAUAAACAAUAUUAAUUGCCUUCUCUUUCAUACUCCUCUCCUCUCCUCCUCUAUACUAAGAACCUUUCAUGGAGUGCAUGGCUUCUUUUGGUGCACCACAAGUUGCUGAAGCUGCCAGCAUGAUCUGAUCCCUUCUCUAUUCUCGUAUUCUUUAUUUUCAAGAGGAAGCCCAUCAGAUCAUCUGGCAGUUUCAUCUACUGAUGGGAGCACAAAGAAACCCUAACCCUGAUGCCCACCUGCUCGCUAGGCUUUCAUGAAGGCCCCUAGGGGGAGAAGCUGAAAGUUUGUCUGCUACGAGGAGGACUGGGAGAAUCUUAUGAAACGAAUAGGAUUUCAGUUUUUUUGGAGCGGAGGGCACGGCUUUGGGCUCGGGGAAUGGAGCUACACAAACUUCUAUAAGUGCAGGGCAAUACUGUACUGAUCAGUGCAGCACAGGGGCUCAGUACACUCCUGCGGACACUCAGCAUAGAUGCAAUGCUGAUUCCAGUAAUGUACCAUGUGAUAUAUCAUCUUGUAUCAGUAAGGUGUAACAUGGGACCUGAUAUCAAGACUUAAGACCUUGCCUAGGAGGGUAUGGAGUAACUUCAAAAUAUUAUACUAGAUAUUCUCAAUUGAACUCCAUAUAUUGAUAAGAAGGCUAUAUAUAUGUAAAGAAGUACUUUAUCAUUAGAAAUCAAGUCUGCAUUAAAGCUCCAAAAAUGGGAAACAGACAAACAGUUUUCAAUCAUAUGCUGUUUGUAUUUAGAAGUUGGAUCAUACAGAAUUACUUGUUAAUAUAGUCAAUAACAUUUAAAUGUACACAUAUGCUGAAAACGAUAUGAAAACCUGUAAAAGAUGAUCCUCAGUGGCUUUUGCCCGGUAGCUUUCCUGAAGGAUAUUAAGAGAUCCCUGCAGUAUAUUAAAAGAAAGCAUAUCAGGAAGAAAAAUUUCUGUUGGAAGUUUAGCAUAAAGAGAGGAAAGCCCUGAAUCAGUUAUCCUCAACAAAAGAAUAAAACUUCAUCAGAUGAUGAUGGAAUGGUUAUGGAACAGCAACCAGAAAAGCUGGUAUCAGCUGAAUCACAGUAAUGAAAAUUGAAUAACCUCUCAGUAAAGAUACUUCCAGAAGAUCAUAUAAAUAUGGUGUACUUAAACUGGAUCAAGGUAUGCCUUACCAUACCAAACCAGAUGGUAUGGGCCAUGGGGUAUACCAUACAGUACCAGUUCGGUGUUGAUACAUAAUAUAGGAGGUGUACCAAGUGUCGGGACUCCAAACCGGCCUCCAUACCAGGUGUACCAAUAUAGCAAUGGGGUGCCACCGGUCCAGGGCCCGAUAUCGAGAUGGCAUACCUUGACUGAAUCUAUCUAACUCCGUCUUAGCUAAGAAAGCCUACUUACCGAAUC